UACGGGGGGGGCAAGCGUUGUUCGGAAUUACUGGGCGUAAAGGGCUCGUAGGCGGCCAACUAAGUCGGACGUGAAAUCCCCAGGCUCAACCUGGGAACUGCGUCCGAUACUGGAUGGCUUGAAUCCGGGAGAGGGAUGCAGAAUUCCGCGUGUAGCAGUGAAAUGCGUAGAUAUGCGGAGGAACACCGAUGGCGAAGGCAAUCCCCUGGGCCUGCACUGACGCUCAUGCACGAAAGCGUGGGGAGCAAACAGG
rnacentral:rRNA from 1 species